AUAUUUACCUGAAUGGGGUCAUGAUCAAUAAGGUCUAUGGUCUAUGGUCUAGGUUAGUGACCUUUAUUGCACUUAAUUGGGGUGCUCGCCUAAGGUCUCCCCAAAGUGGGAGGGCCUAUGUCAUAAUAUGUGGCAGUGGCGGCUUGCGUAUGCAUUUCCUAG